GAUGAACGCUGGCGGCGUGCUUAACACAUGCAAGUCGAACGGUGAAAGAGAGCUUGCUCUCUGGAUCAGUGGCGAACGGGUGAGUAACACGUGAGCAAUCUGCCCCUGACUCUGGGAUAAGCGCUGGAAACGGCGUCUAAUACCGGAUACGAGCUGCGAAGGCAUCUUCAGCAGCUGGAAAGAACUUCGGUCAGGGAUGAGCUCGCGGCCUAUCAGCUAGUUGGUGAGGUAACGGCUCACCAAGGCGUCGACGGGUAGCCGGCCUGAGAGGGCGACCGGCCACACUGGGACUGAGACACGGCCCAGACUCCUACGGGAGGCAGCAGUGGGGAAUAUUGCACAAUGGGCGAAAGCCUGAUGCAGCAACGCCGCGUGAGGGACGACGGCCUUCGGGUUGUAAACCUCUUUUAGCAGGGAAGAAGCGAAAGUGACGGUACCUGCAGAAAAAGCACCGGCUAACUACGUG
rnacentral:rRNA from 1 species